CCUUCUUCCGGGAUGACUUUGAGAUGUAGUGCCCUAAUUCUUCCUCAUGGAUCUCGAUAGGAGGCAGCGCAAAGGUUCUUACAGGACUAAGUGCAAUUUAUAAGCUUCUUGUAAUCAACAACUAGAGGUUUCCUUGUCAAACUGUGAACUGGACUCUUCAAGAAAUUGUCUUAUUUCACUUUUGUUAUUGUGACUAUACACAAUGAAACACACUUGACAGUAAUAAAAACAAGCUAAUAUUUUGAUGUAAACAUGUGCUCUCAACAUAGUACCAAAGUUGUACACCAGGCUGAGACACUUGUCAAGCAGCACUUCAGUCAUUGUAGUACUGAAAAUAGCCACCAGAGAGCAGUCAAUGUUUCAUAGGCAGGAAAUGAUAAACAAUAACCAGAAUGUGUCUAAAACGUUUUAACACAAGAGUAGCAGUGAAGGCACAAUGUGUUAAAACGAGCGCUGAAGGCACUCGACUUGCCGUAUUUCUCAGCAGUUAAGGGGUUAAUUUAAGCAAAUUUCUACUUCAAAAUAAAUAUUUGCCAGUGUCUAGUUGAAGUGUAGACCCAGCUAAAUACAUAUUUUUAAAAGACAAUCCCUGUUGUAAAAUAUUUCUGUGUUUAUACACUUUAAUUCUGUGUUUCAACUUGAAGUAUCUACUUUAGGUUUAAGGUCUUGCCAUUACCCCUUUCCAGUUCUUAAUCUCAAAAUAAAUGUAAUGUUGGUUCAUGUUUUCUAGGGAAAUAACGUUAUAUAUAAAUGGUGUUUGUUUUCUCAAGACAAUAAUACAUGUAAGGUGUAUGUUUUUCUGUGGGAGAAUGGAUUGUCUCAAAGCGGUUGCAUUGUUCAUUACAAGCAAUAAAUCUGUUGUUAACAGAGCCCA